UACGUAGGGUGCGAGCGUUGUCCGGAAUUACUGGGCGUAAAGAGCUCGUAGGUGGUUUGUCGCGUUGUCCGUGAAAACUCACAACUCAAUUGUGGGCGUGCGGGCGAUACGGGCAGACUGGAGUACUGCAGGGGAGACUGGAAUUCCUGGUGUAGCGGUGGAAUGUGCAGAUAUCAGGAGGAACACCGGUGGCGAAGGCGGGUCUCUGGGCAGUAACUGACGCUGAGGAGCGAAAGCGUGGGGAGCGAACAGG
rnacentral:rRNA from 1 species